rnacentral:rRNA from 2 species
UUAAAUUGAAGAGUUUGAUCAUGGCUCAGAUUGAACGCUGGCGGCAGGCCUAACACAUGCAAGUCGAACGGUAACAGGAAGCAGCUUGCUGCUUUGCUGACGAGUGGCGGACGGGUGAGUAAUGUCUGGGAAACUGCCUGAUGGAGGGGGAUAACUACUGGAAACGGUGGCUAAUACCGCAUAACGUCGCAAGACCAAAGAGGGGGACCUUCGGGCCUCUUGCCAUCAGAUGUGCCCAGAUGGGAUUAGCUUGUUGGUGAGGUAACGGCUCACCAAGGCGACGAUCCCUAGCUGGUCUGAGAGGAUGACCAGCCACACUGGAACUGAGACACGGUCCAGACUCCUACGGGAGGCAGCAGUGGGGAAUAUUGCACAAUGGGCGCAAGCCUGAUGCAGCCAUGCCGCGUGUAUGAAGAAGGCCUUCGGGUUGUAAAGUACUUUCAGCGGGGAGGAAGGUGUUGUGGUUAAUAACCGCAGCAAUUGACGUUACCCGCAGAAGAAGCACCGGCUAACUCCGUGCCAGCAGCCGCGGUAAUACGGAGGGUGCAAGCGUUAAUCGGAAUUACUGGGCGUAAAGCGCACGCAGGCGGUCUGUCAAGUCGGAUGUGAAAUCCCCGGGCUCAACCUGGGAACUGCAUUCGAAACUGGCAGGCUUGAGUCUUGUAGAGGGGGGUAGAAUUCC